rnacentral:lncRNA from 1 species
UUUUUCCGGCUCCUCUGCAGCUAGUGCGCGCGCGAACGUUUUGGCGGGUUUUCCACUUCUGGUUUCGUCGUCUCGGAAAUAAGCAACGUACGAGCAGGCACGGAAGAAGCUGGAGCGUAGCCAAUACACAUCGGAACUAAGCAGCGACUCAGAAAGGCCGCAAUGCAAGAGGAUGCGGAGGCCACCGCCCCAGUGGUCGCAGUCUGACGAGGAACCAGUGCGACACAAGCCAACAAAGGCAGCCCCCCGAAAAGUGCCUGCAGUACUGGCAGAUUUUCCUCAAGGCCUGUUCACUGCUGCAUCAAAGGAGGGAAGCAGUUCUGCAGGAAGACAAAGUAGCAGCCACUCGCAAGUGCCCUCAGAUUCCUC